GUGCACAUCAAAGCUGAGUGCCAUUUUUCAGUCGGAAUAUCUUCCCAAUCACCUUUCCUCAAUCUCCAAUCUUCAGUUUUCAUAAAAGAGAUCUGUGAGCCAGAUAUGAUGGGAAUCAUUUUACAGAAGAGAAGAGUGAGGCUUACAAAGACUCCAGCAUGCCUCAGAAAAUAAACAACAUAAAGGAUGAAGUUGUAAGGCAAAGGAACCUAUGACAGCGACUCAAUGGAACAAAGAGUGAGUCUCAUCCUCACGUUAAGAUACCACCACCAACAAAUCUGGGUUGGGGAUUUCGUCCCAAUUACUGGCUGUCCCUUCCACUCAAAGCGAAAAGCCACACAUCUUCAAGAAGAAUACAAAGUGAAGCUGGCAUUACUCAGAAAGAGAAUAAACAAAAUUUGUCAUGAAGACUGCGGGAUGAAUGACACAAAUCAGCCAUUUCUUUGAAAGUCAAAAAGU